CAGCAGCCACGGGAAUACGAAGGGGGCUAGCGUUGUUCGGAAUUACUGGGCGUAAAGCGCGCGUAGGUGGUUCAUUAAGUUGGAUGUGAAAGCCCUGGGCUCAACCUGGGAACUGCAUCCAAAACUGGUGAGCUAGAGUACGGUAGAGGGUAGUGGAAUUUCCUGUGUAGCGAUGAAAUGCGUAGAUAUAGGAAGGAACACCAGUGGCGAAGGCGACUACCUGGACUGAUACUGACACUGAGACACGAAAGCGUGGGGAUCAAACAGGAUUAGAUACCCCCGUAGUCCCUGUCUCUUAUAC
rnacentral:rRNA from 1 species